rnacentral:tRNA from 1 species
UGUUGUAGUGGAUAAGACACGGGAUUUCUAAUCCCGCGAUCCGGGUUCGAGUCUCG